AGCAAAGGAGACUGAGAGGGAAUGUCCAGUGAGGAGGAGGAAACCCAAGAGAGGGUGUGUCCUGGAAGCAAAGUGAAGAAACUUUCAGAGUAGAAGAAACAUGUUACUGCGGCAAAGGCGACUGACACACACCUAAGCAGAGGCCUGAGAACUGACAGACGGACUUAGAAAAGUACAGUCAUCAGCGUCUUCAGAAAGAGUAGCUUCAAUGAAGCAUUCAUGACAGAUACAUGCUUGGAACAAGUUUGAAGAGGAAUGCUGGCCUCUAGAGAGAAAUGCAGAGCAAGUAUCAAGUGAGUACACUCCAACUAGGAAGGAUGUUAUUUGUCUUUCACGAUGAGGAGUUGGGAAGAAGGCUACCACUGAUUCUAGAUGUGUGGCAUACUUAUUGUUUCUUGCCUGAGGAUUUACUCUCUCUACUUGCCUGACAGAGAAGGUAACAGAUGCCGAAUGUGAGAGCAGAAGGAAAACAAGAUGUGUCCUGAUGCCAAAGUCAAAAUUAACUUAACAGGAGAGAAAAGUUGAAGAAGGCAAAUUCGUUUUUGUGAUAGAGUUUAAUUUAGAUCACCCAUGUUCAACAACAUUUUACAAGUCAUAAAAGACAUCGGG
ensembl:lncRNA